GAUGUAGUCCACAGAAGUCACCCCGCAUCCCCAACCUCCUCUCCCUCUAGGAGGGCAGAGAACGAAUCUGGCAUGGGGUGGGAGAAGAUGGAGAAGCAGCAGCCUAAGAGCUAAGGUACACUUCUUUGUUGGUUAACCUACCUUCCUUCUGGGAGGAACACGUUUGCACAAUCCUCCACAGAGGGACAUUUGCCACCUGGAAUCCAACAGAAUGGAGUCUGCCAAGAGCUUGUGUAGUAUCUGCAAAGCCAGUUCCAGUUUACAGAGGACUCAGGCUGGCAGUGAGGACUCAGCUGAGAUCACCAAACCCUUGGGACUGGCUUGAGCUCAAAAUGCUAGGUGCCCUGAGCCAAAAAGCAACAGAACUCACUUGUGGCUCCCUUGUCCUGAAGCCACAGGGCCACAUGCUGAAGGCCUGUCCCUGCAGCUCUCUCCAACCUCAUCAGACCAGCAAAACCACCUUGUUCCUAGGUCCUUUCUAGAAGCUGGUGUGCCUGGGGUGAAAACAUCCAGUGUCUCAAUGAAAUAUAUGCCAUUUAUACAAGCUACCACUUCUGGCAUCAUGGGCAGGAGACAAGGCCUGGUCUGCAGAGUGUGUGGGCCUUGAACUCCCAGCAUGCAGCUCUUCAUCCUCCAAGGGCGCUGGCCACCUCUGAACACUCAUUAAAGGAGCCAAGGAUGGAAGGAUUCCAGUUACAGAUUUGUGUGAAGCCCAACUUUCUUCAUCUACUUCAACCAAAACAAUGUAUCAUAUCAGAUUGGGUGCAGAAGCAGCUAUGGAACCACAGCUGUUUUCUAUUAAGCCAGACAUUAAAGCAACUUAUAAAAAUGUGAAACGAUGCCACUCUUCUCACUAAUAUUUUCAUUGAAAGUAUCUUAUUUAUAUUAUUAUAUAAUGGGCUUAUUUUAAUAAAGAAAUA